GACGAACGCUGGCGGCGUGCUUAACACAUGCAAGUCGAGCGAUGAAGCUCCUUCGGGAGUGGAUUAGCGGCGGACGGGUGAGUAACACGUGGGUAACCUGCCUCAUAGAGGGGAAUAGCCUUCCGAAAGGAAGAUUAAUACCGCAUAAGAUUGUAGUUUCGCAUGAAACAGCAAUUAAAGGAGCAAUCCGCUAUGAGAUGGACCCGCGUCGCAUUAGCUAGUUGGUGAGGUAACGGCUCACCAAGGCGACGAUGCGUAGCCGACCUGAGAGGGUGAUCGGCCACAUUGGGACUGAGACACGGCCCAGACUCCUACGGGAGGCAGCAGUGGGGAAUAUUGCACAAUGGGGGAAACCCUGAUGCAGCAACGCCGCGUGAGUGAUGAAGGUCUUCGGAUUGUAAAGCUCUGUCUUUGGGGACGAUAAUGACGGUACCCAAGGAGGAAGCCACGGCUAACUACGUG
rnacentral:rRNA from 1 species